rnacentral:rRNA from 1 species
GACGAACGCUGGCGGCGUGCCUAAUACAUGCAAGUAGAACGCUGAAGAGAGGAGCUUGCUCUUCUUGGAUGAGUUGCGAACGGGUGAGUAACGCGUAGGUAACCUGCCUUGUAGCGGGGGAUAACUAUUGGAAACGAUAGCUAAUACCGCAUAACAAUGGAUGACCCAUGUCAUUUAUUUGAAAGGGGCAAAUGCUCCACUACAAGAUGGACCUGCGUUGUAUUAGCUAGUAGGUGAGGUAACGGCUCACCUAGGCGACGAUACAUAGCCGACCUGAGAGGGUGGUCGGGCAACCUGGGACUGGGACAAGGCCCAGAAUCCUACGGGAGGGAGCAGUAGGGGAUCUUCGGCAAUGGGGGCAACCCUGACCGAGCAACGCCGCGUGAGUGAAGAAGGUUUUCGGAUCGUAAAGCUCUGUUGUAAGUCAAGACCGAGUGUGAGAGUGGAAAGUUCACACUGUGACGGUAGCUUACCAGAAAGGGACGGCUAACUACGUG